UACGGAGGGUGCAAGCGUUAUCCGGAUUCACUGGGUUUAAAGGGUGCGUAGGCGGGCAGGUAAGUCCGUGGUGAAAUCUCUGAGCUUAACUCAGAAACUGCCAUGGAUACUAUUUGUCUUGAAUAUUGUGGAGGUGAGCGGAAUAUGUCAUGUAGCGGUGAAAUGCAUAGAUAUGUCACAGAACACCAAUUGCGAAGGCAGCUUACUAUGGUUUUAUUGACACUGAGGCACGAAAGCGUGGGGAUCAAACAGG
rnacentral:rRNA from 1 species